rnacentral:rRNA from 1 species
AGGAAUAUUGGUCAAUGGGCGAGAGCCUGAACCAGCCAAGUAGCGUGCAGGAUGACGGCCCUAUGGGUUGUAAACUGCUUUUAUAAGGGAAUAAAGUGAGAGUCGUGACUCUUUUUGCAUGUACCUUAUGAAUAAGGACCGGCUAAUUCCGUGCCAGCAGCCGCGGUAAUACGGAAGGUCCGGGCGUUAUCCGGAUUUAUUGGGUUUAAAGGGAGCGUAGGCCGGAGAUUAAGCGUGUUGUGAAAUGUAGGCGCUCAACGUCUGCACUGCAGCGCGAACUGGUUUCCUUGAGUACGCACAAAGUGGGCGGAAUUCGUGGUGUAGCGGUGAAAUGCUUAGAUAUCACGAAGAACUCCGAUUGCGAAGGCAGCUCACUGGAGCGCAACUGACGCUGAAGCUCGAAAGUGCGGGUAUCGAACAGGAUUAGAUACCCUGGUAGUCCGCACGGUAAACGAUGGAUGCCCGCUGUUGGUCUGAACAGGUCAGCGGCCAAGCGAAAGCAUUAAGCAUCCCACCUGGGGAGUACGCCGGCAACGGUGAAACUCAAAGGAAUUGACGGGGGCCCGCACAAGCGGAGGAACAUGUGGUUUAAUUCGAUGAUACGCGAGGAACCUUACCCGGGCUUGAAUUGCAGAGGAAGGAUUUGGAGACAAUGACGCCCUUCGGGGCCUCUGUGAAGGUGCUGCAUGGUUGUCGUCAGCUCGUGCCGUGAGGUGUCGGCUUAAGUGCCAUAACGAGCGCAACCCCUCUCCUUAGUUGCCAUCAGGUUAAGCUGGGCACUCUGGGGACACUGCCACCGUAAGGUGUGAGGAAGGUGGGGAUGACGUCAAAUCAGCACGGCCCUUACGUCCGGGGCUACACACGUGUUACAAUGGCAGGUACAGAGAGACGGUCCCUUGCAAAAUGGAUCAAAUCCUUAAAGCCUGUCUCAGUUCGGACUGGGGUCUGCAACCCGACCCCACGAAGCUGGAUUCGCUAGUAAUCGCGCAUCAGCCAUGGCGCGGUGAAUACGUUCCCG